UACGGGGGGGGGCAAGCGUUUGUUCGGAAUUACUGGGCGUAAAGGGCUCGUAGGCGGCCAACUAAGUCAGACGUGAAAUCCCUCGGCUUAACCGGGGAACUGCAUCUGAUACUGGAUGGCUUGAGUUCGGGAGAGGGAUGCGGAAUUCCAGGUGUAGCGGUGAAAUGCGUAGAUAUCUGGAGGAACACCAACGGCGAAGGCAGCACUCUGGGCCGGUACUGACGCUGAGGAGCGAAAGCGUGGGGAGCGAACAGGA
rnacentral:rRNA from 1 species